rnacentral:rRNA from 1 species
AGAGUUUGAUCCUGGCUCAGGAUGAUACGCUGGCGGUCUGCUUAACACAUGCAAGUCGAACGGACCUUUUCGGAGGUUAGUGGCGGACGGGUGAGUAACGCGUGAGAAUCUAGCUACAGGAUGGGAACAACAGUUGGAAACGACUGCUAACGCCCGAUGUGCCGAGAGGUGAAAUAUUGAAUAGCCUGUAGAUGAGCUCGCGUCUGAUUAGCUAGUUGGUGGGGUAAGAGCUUACCAAGGCGACGAUCAGUAGCUGGUCUGAGAGGAUGAUCAGCCACACUGGGACUGAGACACGGCCCAGACUCCUACGGGAGGCAGCAGUGGGGAAUUUUCCGCAAUGGGCGCAAGCCUGACGGAGCAAGACCGCGUGGGGGAGGAAGGUCUGUGGAUUGUAAACCCCUUUUCUCAGGGAAGAAGGUCUGACGGUACCUGAGGAAUCAGCCUCGGCUAACUCCGUGCCAGCAGCCGCGGUAAUACGGAGGAGGCAAGCGUUAUCCGGAAUUAUUGGGCGUAAAGCGUCCGUAGGUGGAGUAUCAAGUCAGUUGUCAAAGUGCGAGGCUUAACUUCGUGAGGGCGAUUGAAACUGAUAGUCUAGAGUGUGACAGGGGUUAGGGGAAUUCCCAGUGUAGCGGUGAAAUGCGUAGAUAUUGGGAAGAACACCGGUGGCGAAAGCGCCUAACUGGGUCUGCACUGACACUGAGGGACGAAAGCCAGGGGAGCGAAAGGGAUUAGAUACCCCUGUAGUCCUGGCUGUAAACGAUGGGUACUAGGCGUUGGACGUAUCGACCCGUUCAGUGCCGUAGCUAAC